UAACUGUCACGUAUCACGUUCUGAUUGGAUGAUGACUGUCACAUGUCAUAUUCUAAUUGGUCAAUGAAAACAGCAAUGCAUUUCAUCUUUCAUGGAGUUGACAUCCAAUCAGAACAUGACACGUGACAGUCGUCAUCCAAUAAGAACGUGACAUAUGACAGUCA
rnacentral:pre_miRNA from 1 species